UGGGAGGAAGGUAAAGUAUUGAGUUUGGGAGACAAGAGCCCCGGCUGGUGGGGGGUGGGGGGGACAGUCUGGCUAAGCCUCACCUGGGGACAGGAGAAAGCUCUGGGGUCGGUCAAGAUAAACCUGGCCUUCUAGAGUUUUCCGGAGCAGAGAUGGUUCUGCCAUGCAGUCCUUUGGGGGCUUUUAGACAAGAUCGCAGCCGGAGAAGAGAGGCCGGAGGCCAGGCAAGGAGAAGAGAUCCACAAGGCUUACAGGUCAGAGCCAUUCAUGUUUCUUAGGCCCCUGGCUUCCAGGUGGAACAGGUCCUGAGGCCCCUCUGCCCACCUGUCAGUCAAGGCCCUUUGAAAGCCCCCUCCACCUGCCCUUUAUCCAUUAACUCCUUCCUUCAACAAAGGUUUGUGAAGCACUUCCUCCGUGUCAGGCAGGGUGAGCUUCCUGGGCGGGCAACCGUGGGGACGCCCAGGCCCCAAAGCUCAAAAGGGCCUCACGCUUGGCUUAAUGUUCUGCUGCUUCUGUGUUGCAAUUCUUCCUAAUCUAUGAACAAAGGGCCCCUGUUUUCAUUUUGCACUGGGCCCUGCAACUUACGCGCCCGUCCCAGUGCCGAGCACAGUGCUGGGCUGGAGGGCACCGCAGAGAGCGAGCCCGCACGGCGGCCUCCAUCGCAAAGCUGGCUUUCAGCCCAGAGGAGACGAAGCGGGAACCUUCAACGGGAUUAGAGGUCCGGAGGGGUGGCAGUGCUGUCCCUUGAUUCUCUCGGAGAAGGAUGUGGUGCAUUCGGCCGGGGCCAGGCAGCACAGGGAACACAGGAGGGUCAGGGAGCAGAGACCCGAACGGGCAUCGUGGUGGGUAGGAAGCAAACACAGGGGCCUGCGGAGGCAGUCAGAGGAGUGCUGGCGGGCCUCCCGAGUCCACGGUGAGGGGCGCGCCCUAGGUCAUCUCGUGAUAAGCCACGGGGCUAAGUCAACAGGAUGAGGCAGUGGGAAGGAGAUCUCCUGGACCAGAUGCCGUUGACCUGCGUCCUGGAAGGAGGAGGGAGAGCCAGCUUCGCCAGGGAAAGGCAUCCUAGGCAGAGCGACCAGCAGGUGCACAGGCUGUGCAGAACAAGGAACAGACGCGAGGCUUUGUUGCCCCUGAGCUCACUUCCGUCACCAGCUGAGAUGAAGGAGGUUACUUUCUUCCCGAGUCCUCUGCUGCAGCCCUGUCUGCUUUUUAAUCCACUCUUAAGUUUUUCAGGGGGAUUUUGACCAGCGAGGGAGGCAGGGGGUGGGGGCAGCCGGUGCUGGUGCUGCCGAUUUACAUAUGAAAACAACUGAUUGGUCAGCAUCUGCCCUGCUCCCCCCAACCCCAGGAAGGCCCUGAAGCCAGGAUUAUGGUUCACCCCUCUGCACAUCCCACCGGGAGCCCAGUGGAGCCUGGCCCACAGCAGGUGCUCAACCAAAGAAAACCCAUCUACCAGCCAGAUGCUGGACUCCAGUUUGCCACUGUCCCUGUAUAGGUCUCUGCUGGGUUCGGAGGGUGUAUGCAGCCUCCCCACUCCCCACACCAAAGGACCCCAAGCAGCUGGAACUUUUGAUCAAGGACGCUUUUCACAUAUGCUCGACACAGAAAACAGAAACAGAGCUUCUCCGGUUAAACAGAGCAAGAAAGGCGGCUGUAAUUGCUGCGAUUAACAAAGAAGAAUGUAGAAUGCCCAGUUAAAUGUGAAUUUCGGACAAAUAAUGAACGAUUUUUUUUUUAAUUUUUUAUUUAUUUUUGGGAGAGAAACAGUGCGCGCGAGCGAGUGGGGGAGGGGCAGAGGGAGAGGGAGACACAGAAUCCUGAAGCAGGCUCCAGGCUCCGAGCUGUCGGCACAGAGCCCGACGCGGGGCUCGAACCCACGAACCGCGAGACCGUGACCUGAGCCGGAGUCGGAUGCCACCCAGGCGCCCCAAUAAUGAAUGGCUUUCAGUCUAAGUACGUCCCAUGCUUUAUUUGAGACGUACUGAGACUAAACGUUUAUUUCUUUGUUUAUUGAAAAAGAUCGUUUGAUCGUUUAAGCCACCGUGUAGUGAGUUUCAGUCGGUUGCAACCCACAUCCUGCCAAUGUGUGUAUCAUGUCCUUCAUCUUGAAGAGAGAGAAAUCGAGACCCACAGAAAAAGUGUGGGGCCCAAAGUCUCCCAGUGAGUCAGGACAGAGCUGGCAUUCAAAUCUGGGGUUCUGGCUCCCAGGGUCCUGGGAACCCUUCAGUGUCCCAUAUUGUACAUGUCUCCAUGUCUGUUUCUUCUUCCUUCUCUGGCCUCCCUCGCUGUGUUCCUGCCCAGCAUUUGUUAUAUAUAAA